UUUGAUUUCAUCCCUUCUAUAGAACUCUGUCCAUUUGGAUUUGGUGGCUGUGCAUCUACAGUAACUGCUACAAAGUCAAUGAAUAGCUCACCCUCACAUAUUUGAUGCAGCAUUUCAAUCUUCUUUUCUUACUCUGUGCAGCUCACUGAUUUUUGUGGGUUUGGAGACAUAACAUCUUUCAGUAGAAGUUUAUAACAGCAGCUGUGCUUGUCUUCUUCAGGUGAUUGCUGCCAGACACCUUCCUGAUCCCAUUUGUUAAGAUGGAGCUGUGUGGACACACAGAGGAGACGUUCAAGGUGCAAGAAUGUGUCAGGAAACAGGAACCUGGAUGUAAUUGCAGAUGGAUUCAUCAAGUGCACGACUGCAAGGAUCAACACUUUCCUCAUAAAGAAGUAACAUCAGUGGUGAUUGCUGCCAGACACCUUCCUGAUCCCAUUUGUUAAGAUGGAGCUGUGUGGACACACAGAAGAGACGUUCAAGGUGCAAGAAUGUGUCAGGAAACAGGAACCUGGAUGUAAUUGUAGAUGGAUUCAUCAAGUGCACGACUGCAAGGAUCAACACUUUCCUCAUAAAUAAGUAACAUCAGUGGUAUUUCUUCCUCUGGAGCUGUAGAGUCUGAUCUGUGAUGACAAGUCUCCUGCUGCUCCUACAACUCCACUCAACACCUGCUGCUAGAAUUAGAAAUUACUUAUACUGCUAUUAGUUGUAUUGCUGUGUUAGUAGUUAAUACUUUAAUUAUCACUACUAUCAUUACUACUGCUGUAUUACUGGCCUCAUCUUACAUCUGAUAUGGAACCUGUGUUAUGCUAUGUUCUUCUUUCGCUAUUCUCUACCCCCCCCCCCCCUUUCUCCUUCUUAACCCAACCGGUAGAGACAGAUGGCUGCCCACCCUGAGUCCGGUUCUGCUCGAGGUUUCUGCCUCUUAAAAGGAAGUUUUUCCUUGCCACUGUCGCCUAGUGCUGCUCAUGGUGGGAUUUGUUGGGUCUCUCUCUGUAAAUACCUAUUUUAAAGAGUACGGUCUAGACCUGUUCUAUAUGAAAAGUGCCUUGAGAUGACUGUUGUUGUGAUACGGCGCUAUAUAAAUAAAAUUGAA